AAAAAGCAACAAAAUCAAAGCGAAGCUUUAGCUCCUGGGUUUAUAGACUUCUUCCUCAUUAUUUAGUUUAGUUCGUAUUUGUAGUUUGGCUCAACUCUAGAGAUCAGUUCACCAGGAUCCCUGGGAAUUGUUUGCAGCUUAUGGUUUUCAUCCCACGUCACUUUCGUUUAGAGAUAUGAAAAUUACCUGUGUUUUCUUCAGUUCUUUUGAGGCUUCUCUUUUUCCCUGCAUCAGAUUUAAUGGAAACCUUAGUAAUGGGAUGAAAAUAUCGCCAGGUUAUAUUAUGAAGCCAUAAGCAACAUAAAAGCCCCACACCCCCACGUAACUAAGUGAAACCUGAAAUUCCGUCUUAGUGUGUCACAUGGAAAAUCCCUUCUUCUCUGAGGCUUUCCAGGGGCUCCCU
rnacentral:lncRNA from 1 species